CGGAAGCUAACAUUGACAAGUCAAAGACAGGAAAAAAAAUAAACUAGAACUUGGCACAAAAAGGCAAAACCUGUCAUUUUCAGUCAGCCAUUCAAGGGUCCUAUCCCAGCCAGGCCCGUGCAGGACAGGACAGACUGGACCGGGCCAAGGAAGCAACAGAAUGAGAACAAGAAAAUCGAAGCCAACUCACUGUGCAACCGCUCUGAGAACGACAGUGCGACCAUUUUCACAUGCAACUUCCGUUUCCGAUUUGCCUUUGUCUGCAGCUUUCGCUAGUUUUUUUUUCAUCUAUCUGCCCAGCACGAGAUGUGGUCUACACUACAAAAAAAAAUCAAGUUUUAUAUCUGAUGCGGUACCCAAAUUAAAGAUGCUUUCUCGAA